ACUGACCUUCGGGAAGCAGGCUGGAGAGGGGGCUGGAAAUAAAGCUCUAUAAAAACUCAUGAACAGUGGGUCUUGAUGAGCUUCCGGGUUUAUGGAUUCGUGGGCUGCUUCCACCUGCUAGGAGGGUGGUGUACUCUAACUCAGGGACAGAAGCCCCUGUCUGUGCUCAGGACUCUUGCAGACCUCUUUACCUGGCUGUUCAUCUUCCAUAAUCAACUGGUAGACGUUACAUCCAAGAGGAAAUAAUCCAGGCAAGGAAGCACAAGCUGAUCAAGAUGUGUAGUUCUGUGGCUGCCAAGUUGUGGUUUUUGACAGAUCGUCGCAUCAGGGAAGACUAUCCUCAAAAAGAGAUUUUACGAGCAUUGAAGGCCAAAUGUUGUGAGGAGGAACUGGACUUUAGGGCUGUGGUGAUGGAUGAGGUGGUGCUGACAAUCGAGCAAGGAAACCUGGGUAAGUCUGUAUACUAAGUGAUCUUUUGGAUUUUUACCUAGAAUAUGAUGAAUCUGCAUGUUUUAGGAAUAAUUAGGACAGAGGAAUUCUUAGCCUUGUCAUUACUAAGUAUCUUCUAAU
rnacentral:lncRNA from 10 species